rnacentral:rRNA from 1 species
AACCCUUAAGCUUAGUUGCCAUCAUUAAGUUGGGCACUCUAAGUUGACUGCCGGUGACAAACCGGAGGAAGGUGGGGAUGACGUCAAAUCAUCAUGCCCCUUAUGAUUUGGGCUACACACGUGCUACAAUGGACAAUACAAAGGGCAGCGAAACCGCGAGGUCAAGCAAAUCCCAUAAAGUUGUUCUCAGUUCGGAUUGUAGUCUGCAACUCGACUACAUGAAGCUGGAAUCGCUAGUAAUCGUAGAUCAGCAUGCUACGGUGAAUACGUUCCCGGGUCUUGUACACACCGCCCGUCACACCACGAGAGUUUGUAACACCCGAAGCCGGUGGAGUAACCUUUUAGGAGCUAGCCGUCGAAGGUGGGACAAAUGAUUGGGGUGAAGUCGUAACAAGGUAGCCGUAUCGGAAGGUGCGGCUGGAUCACCUCCUUUCUA